CACGAGCCCCAACCUCAGCCCCCCCGCCGGCCCAACUCUGGUGCGAACCCCUUGUGUGUUAUCAGAUGCUGGGAUCUGAGGCCUCUGCGCACCCCUUCCCUGUACCUGGACCGCACCCUGGGCCCUGGCCUCCACCUGGCAGGAAAAGGCUGAC